rnacentral:lncRNA from 1 species
UUUAUUGGAGCGGGGGUGGGGUUUGUAGGAGCUGAGGCGGGGUUGAGUGAGGUAGUGACUAGGGAAUGGAGGAGCCGGUGACAUCACUAAGUGGUAGGCGGUAAGCCAGUAUUAGGUUACUCUCUAGGCGGGAACAGGGGCAUGCUGGGAAGAAGGGUUUGUUCUUUGGUGGGAGCAGCCAUCUUGGCAUGACGUCACACAGGGGAGGGGACAAGGCAUCAUAGGAAGAGGGCAGUUACUAUACAUAAUAGCUGCUGAGGUAGUGGGAGACCUAUCAAAAAUGAAUUGCCUAAAACUUUAGUGGCUUAAAGCGGCAAGCUUAUUUGUUCGAUCACAGUUUCUGGAGGUCAGAAAUCUGAAUGUGGUUUAGCUGUGCCGUUCUGGUUUACACCAGUUUCCAGGAGGCUGUGGAUGAAAUGGCAGGAGGGACUGUAGGAAGCUAGAGGACCCAGCCCCAGGCUCCCUCAUCUGCUUAGUUCCCUUAAUUCCUUGCUGGCUUUGGCGAGACCCUCAAGCCAGUUCCUCACAGACUGGGGCUCUUCUCAUGCCAUGGUGGCCCAGGAUUUGGAAGUUCCACACAAUCUCGCCAAUCAAUAUUGUAUGGGCCACACACACAGUGGGAGAAGGGACCGCACAAGGUCAGUGUCAGGAAGCCAGGAUCACUGGGGACCCUCUUGGAAGCUGACUGUCUUAGGAAAUAAUGAAGAAUAUAGACUCAAAUUUCACAAGACCUAGAUCUGCUACUUCUUUGCCCGGCUACCAUGAUGUGAUCAGCUUCCUGCAGAUUGGCGUAUCACUGCCAGCCGGGAUCACAGCUGCAGUGCCAGCCCUCAGAGGUGUGUCCAGGGGCCAGGAGAGCCCUUCAGUGCUUUUGCUUCUGCAGCAAGUAUUCAGGCAGUCAUCCACCUCUGGCUCCAGUGACCUUCCAUGGAAGGAAAUGAGCAGAUGAAUUGGGAUCCUAAACUCUUCUGCUUUCUACCCUAGCCUCCAAACUUGCAAGAGCGCAAGGUCCCAAGUUCAAUCCCCGCUACCAAAAAAAAAAAAAAAAAAAGAA